rnacentral:lncRNA from 1 species
CCCAUUCUUUUCUGUUUUCACAAAGCUGGAUUUAAAUGCAGUGGAGGAAGUCAUAUACAAAUUGGAAAGACUACAUAGUCAUUCCUUCAUUUGGAAAAUGCUUUACUCUCUACCCCAUAUACUCACUAUAUCAGGAGGUGAUUUUCUCAACACAGACCUUAACACUAUAAAGCAAUGCAUAUUGGACUUUCAAAGGUUUUUUUUAUUUAUGGAAGAUCUGGGUGUCCUGAACCCCAGCUACAGCUUUUUCCAAACAAUACAUGCUGUGCUUAAUUCCUCUGUAUCUUCUCUGAACACUUUCAUUAAAUGGAAUAAUUCAGGAGAUGAAUAUGGUGUUCUUUUAUGGAACAUAGUGUGGGAUCCUGUCUUCAUUCAAGAGCAGUUAGAAGUUAGAUUUGGUCUGGAUUCUCAGUCCAUCCAGCAGCCCUUAAAUGUUUCUGUCCCCUGGAAAAAGGUAAAGCACCCAAACAGACACCGUCCUCCUAAAAACAAAAAAUGAAAACAGUCUUUAACACAUAUGUAUGUGACUUAGUGACUUCUAAAGCUUUCCUGAAAUGUACUAAAUGUUAGUAUAAAUGUUAGAAUGCUACAAUUCUAAACCAACAA